AGCCGCGAAAUUGACUGUUUGCGUAAGGUUAUCAUUAAUUUUCACUCGUUUUCCAAUUUCCUCGUGGUUUCUACAUCCCAGAUUUUAAUAUGAACUCGUCUAAAGGAAAGCUUACAGAUUUUCACGAAACCGUCAGACAAGAGGCUGAAGAUUCAGUGAAAAAUUUCUUCCCUGACAGGGUUUUUGAACUAGAUAAGCUUCUUAAGGUAAAUUUGACUUUGUACAUCUUA